CAAUAGCGUAUAUUAAAGUUGUUGCGGUUAAAAAGCUCGUAGUUGGAUUUCUGCCGAGGACGACCGGUCCGCCCUCUGGGUGAGUAUCUGGCUCGGCCUGGGCAUCUUCUUGGAGAACGUAGCUGCACUUGACUGUGUGGUGCGGUAUCCAGGACUUUUACUUUGAGGAAAUGAGAGUGUUUCAAGCAGGCUUUCGCCGUGAAUAUGAUAGCAUGGAAUAAUAGCACAGGACCCCUUUCCAAAGCUGUUGGUUUUUGGAACGAGGUAAUCAGAAUAAGGAUAGUUGGGGGUAUUCGUAUUUAACUGUCAGAGGUGAAAUUCUUGGAUUUAUGAAAGACGAACUACUGCGAAAGCAUUUACCAAAGAUGUUUUCAUUAAUCAAGAACGAAAGUUAGGGGAUCGAAGACGAUCAGAUACCAU
rnacentral:rRNA from 1 species